AUCCUCUUCUAGUUCAUAAGCAUGAUGAUUGGGUUUUCAUGCACUUGCGUGAGAUGUGCCUCCCACAAAUCUUGUUACAAGAUCAGCCCAUUACCCUUCUGACG